UGGGGAAUAUUGCACAAUGGAGGGAACUCUGAUGCAGCGACGCCGCGUGAACGAAGAAGGCUUUCGAGUCGUAAAGUUCUUUUAUAUGGGAAGAUAAUGACGGUACCAUAAGAAAAAGCCCCGGCUAACUACGUGCCAGCAGCCGCGGUAAUACGUAGGGGGCUAGCGUUGUCCGGAAUCACUGGGCGUAAAGGGUUCGCAGGCGGAAAUGCAAGUCAGGUGUAAAAGGCAGUAGCUUAACUACUGUAAGCAUUUGAAACUGCAUAUCUUGAGAAGAGUAGAGGGAAGUGGAAUUUUUAGUGUAGCGGUGAAAUGCGUAGAUAUUAAAAAGAAUACCGGUGGCGAAGGCGGCUUACUGGGCUCAUUCUGACGCUGAGGAACGAAAGCGUGGGUAGCAAACAGG
rnacentral:rRNA from 1 species